ACUCCUACGGGAGGCAGCAGUAGGGAAUCUUCCACAAUGGGCGAAAGCCUGAUGGAGCAACGCCGCGUGGGUGAAGAAGGUCUUCGGAUCGUAAAACCCUGUUGUUAGAGAAGAAAGUGCGUGAGUAACGUAACUGUUCACGUUUCGACGGUAUCUAACCAGAAAGCCACGGCUAACUACGUGCCAGCAGCCGCGGUAAUACGUAGGUGGCAAGCGUUAUCCGGAUUUAUUGGGCGUAAAGGGAACGCAGGCGGUUCUUUAAGUCUGAUGUGAAAGCCUUCGGCUUAACCGGAGUAGUGCAUUGGAAACUGGGAGACUUGAGUGCAGAAGAGGAGAGUGGAACUCCAUGUGUAGCGGUGAAAUGCGUAGAUAUAUGGAAGAACACCGAGUGGCGAAAGCGGUCUCUCUGGUCUGUAACUGACGCUGAGGUUCGAAAGCGU
rnacentral:rRNA from 1 species